AAAGGAUUCUGGGUAGGCGUAUGCAAAUAAGCUCAACAAAGAACCAUAUUUUGCCUCAUAAUUCCAUGCCUUCCCAGAAUCCCUUGCAGUAGUGAAAGCACUGUUAAAGUGAGAUUUCUGUGGGAAAAGCAAGUCUUAUGGCUUGACUGAUGUGUGCAUUUGUGUUUAGCAAUGUAUUAACUAUCCACUUACUUCAGGUGGAAGGGAUUUUCAUCCACACUUUUUUC